UACGGAGGGGGCUAGCGUUGUUCGGAAUCAUUGGGCGUAAAGGGCGCGUAGGCGGCCGAUCAAGUCGGAGGUGAAAUCCCUCGGCUCAACUGAGGAAUUGCCUUCGAUACUGUUCGGCUUAAGUCCUGGAGAGGGUAGCGGAAUUCCCGGUGUAGCGGUGAAAUGCGUAGAGACCGGGAAGAACACCAGUGGCGAAGGCGGCUACCUGGACAGGUACUGACGCUGAAGCGCGAAAGCUAGGGGAGCAAACAGG
rnacentral:rRNA from 1 species